GUUCCGGCGUCCCUGUAUAAAUUUAUGCUAUUUUACUCACAUGUUGCUCGUACUGCGUAACAUUUUCUCUUUGUCCCACAGUCGCCAGAAGUCAACAGCACGUUCCCCUCUUUAUGUACGUACACGAACGACUAGCUUCUAUUUUCUUCCUAUUUCAUGCUCGAUAAUAAAUCUCUCCUGCAUUUUUCUUUCCCUCUCAGAUCUUUUUUCUCUUUAAAACAUCCCUGUAUAUCUCUCUCGCUCUUUCUUGUUUAAUUAUUUUUAGUCUUUUACGACGAAUUCCUCGAUCGUGUUCGGCCUGCAAAGCCGACCUAGCUUCGAAAGUAUAUGCUCGCUCUGUCUCGCUGGUUGCACUGAGAUUUCUCCCAGAUCGUGACGUAUCCCACCAUUAGCAAGUGCGCCACUCGCUGUGUGGAAUGUCGUGUUAAAAUGCGCCAUUUCAACUGACUUUACGUAAGCUCAUACGACCAGACAAAACAGAGAAAAAGCAUAUUAUUUCUUGAGAUUUGCCGUCCUUGCUUCCUGAUCGAUGAUCAAGUGCAAAUUCCCGCGCGCGCGCUUUGUUUACAUAUUGCUGCACAAAUAUUACCUUCCCCUCCCUCCCUCAGGCAGGUCAAACAAUUGUCUGUUCGCUUGCUGUGUAUUUUGCUGUACUGGAAUGGAAAAUUUUGACCAAAUAUAACUGUUAUUUCUAUCUGCAGUUGUGCAAGUAACGUCAAUUUUACGGAUGAUGGUAUAUUAGUAUUCUACUGAGCGAAUUUUUGGCCAGAUGUUGCUCGUCGAAACCAGUUUAGACCCCGUGAAAGUAUACGUGUAAUUUGAGUUAUUUGACAAACAGGAUGGCAUUCCCGUUGUGCGUAUAUGUAUACUCGUCCAAUCGGAAGAUAUUUCGUUAAUUCCCACUCAAUUUUGGAUUUUUAUGAUGAGGUUUAACCGUCAUUAUCGUUCAAGGUUCACAAACAGGGUUUUCGUCCAUCCAAAGUACAUUUGAGUUACUGAGCUAAACUUCAGCAAGUCUCGUAUGGUAAUAUAAAUAUGGCUGUGUCGUUAUCUGACCAAUAUGUCCUGUUUAUAUACUACAAAACGUCGGCCAGGAGAACAGGCUCUUACGAGAACAGUUAAUAUUAAAGACGACUAUAAACGAGACGAAGUUGUCCAUCGAAGAUACGAAGGUUGAUAAAAUGGACAAUUUGUCAAACAGAACUGCGAGACACGUUGC